rnacentral:lncRNA from 1 species
CCUUUUUUUUUGCUUUGAAAUCUGCCAGCUCUUGGAAUCAGCCUCUACCAGGCCCCUCGGGUUUCGGGCUGGAGGAAGUGAGCAGGGAAGGUGGUUUAACAGCUGGUUGUUUGCUCUUUGGCCCCUCAUCAGAUGGUGAGGUCAAGAAUUCAAGUUUUAAAAUGUGGAAACCCAGUCAUUGUGAUUUCACUCUUACGUUGUGACUCUAACAGGACACAAGGACAUUUUUAUUCAACAAACAGACGAAAAACGUAAAAAUUCAACUGUUGACGUUUUAUUUUGUGAUUUCUGUACAGUUCAGGAGGGACAGAGUUAGAGGUCAAAUAAAAUGCCAGUUAAAUUCGGCUACUGUCAACAACCCAAAACUUCCAACAUAAAAAAGAAUCAAAGCAAGCUGGUGAAGAUUAUGCAAUAA